rnacentral:misc_RNA from 1 species
GAUGAAGAACGCAGUGAACUGCGAUAAGUAAUGUGAAUUGCAGAAUUCAGUGAAUCAUCGAGUCUUUGAACGCACAUUGCGCCCCCUGGCAUUCCGGGGGGCAUGCCUGUCCGAGCGUCAUUGCUGCCCUUCAAGCCCGGCUUGUGUGUUGGGUCGUCGUCCCCCCCGGGGGACGGGCCCGAAAGGCAGCGGCGGCACCGCGUCCGGUCCUCGAGCGUAUGGGGCUUUGUCACCCGCUCGAUUAGGGCCGGCCGGGCGCCAGCCGGCGUCUCCAACCUUUUAUUUUACCAGGUUGACCUCGGAUCAGGUAGGGAUACCCGCUGAACUUAAGCAUAUCAAUAAGCGGAGGA